AGGGAGACUGAUCAACUACAAUGAAACCACACAAGAAAAAGUCUUGGGUUGAUGGUGCUGUUCUGUAUUUUUAUUAUGGUUGUGAUUACAUAACACUAUGUACUUAUCAGAAUUUAUAAAACUACACAAAAUCGGUAAAUUUUACAGUAGGUAAAAUUUUAAAAUUGCAUCUUCUUAGCAGUACCUGCUCUUUCAUAAGUUUUCUAGCUCCAUCUUCUUUUCCAUUUAUUCACUGAAAAAGUAAUUAUUAGUGGCUACAAGUUGCCAUACAUUGGAAUUAGAGAUAAACAUUAAAAAACAAGAUGAAAAUAUGUUUGCUUUCAUGGAGCUUACUAUCCACUCAGAGGAAAUAGGAGUUACGAAGGAAAAUGUAUAAUGUCGUCUGAUGAUACAGGGAUAUUAUAACCAAUUAAUGGAAAGAAACAUUUAAGACAACACCUUCCUCUAUGUUUACAUCAGGAUGCAUUUUUGUAAUUGAGGACUGGGGAUUCAAAGUGAACAUGAGUCACUGCCAUAAUGUUGCUUACAUACUAAUGGAGAAUGAAGACGAAAAGAUAACUAGAUGGAGUCUUCCUAUGUUGCCCAGUCUGAACUUGAACUCGUGAACUCAAGCAAUCAUCCUACCUCAGCCUUCCAAGCAGCUGGGAAUAAAAAAGUCCACCACCACGUCUCGCAGCAGUUCCUCCGCAUCAAGAAUCUGGCAAAUUUAUCUUGGACCUCUUCUUCACGGUGUCUCACAGGCUGCAAGCAAGUUGUUGGCUGGGUUUUGGCCAUCUCAAAUCUCAACUGGGUAAAGAUUUGCUUCCAAUAUCACACAGUUAAUGGCAGGAUUCGGUUCUUCACAAGUCAUUGAACUGAAGACCUCAAUUAUUUGCUAUUGGCCACAGGCUGCCCUCGGUUUAUUGCCACAUGGGCUUCUCCAGCAAGGCAAAAACACACAUGCUGAGAAGGCAAUAGAGAGAGCCUACUAGCAAGACAGAAGUCUUUUAAAACCUAAUCGUGGAAAAUGACAUUCCGCAACUUUUGCUAUAUUCUGCUUAUUAGAAAAGAGGCAGGAAUACCAGGAGAUAGGGAUCAUUGGAACUGAUAUUAAAUGACUAUCAAAGUUCACCCUCUGGCCUCUAACGAUUUUUUAUUUCCCUACCAAAUGUGAAAUAACUCCUCUCAAGGUUCUCAGACGUCUCAUUCCAUUAUAACAUCAACUUGAAGUAUAGAAUCCUCAUCGUUAAAAUCAGCUCUCACUCUUUGUUCAGUGUCUCUCAACCUGUGACCUGUGACUAUUCAGACCAGCCCCAUGACACCUAUUUAUGCCAUAUGGAGAAAAGCACCACCUAGAAAAGCCUUCCCAAAUUCCUGAACCUCAAGUGUGCAGAAUUUAAUAAAAUGGUUGUUUUUUAAGUA
rnacentral:lncRNA from 1 species